AUUUUACCCCCGGUUUGCCAUGUGCGCGCCGUAUUUCACGGAAACAAAAUUUAUUAACUGAAAAAUGAAAACCGAAGCGAAGAAAGUUGUCUCUUUUCCAAAGUAAUUCUUAAAAAUGUUAUUUCAAACAAUGUUACUCAUCAUGAGCGGUUAUACACAUAGAAUAAUGCAGAUUGUAAGCAACCUCGAUCCCAAAGCAUUUUUUAUCUUUCUGCCAUCCCGUUAUAAAAGAGACAAAGAACCCUGGGUCGCGUUGGAAAUAACUAUCGCUAUAGCGCGUUCACUGAAAUGAUAUGGACACGGAAACCGAUAGGGGCCAAAAAGAUUAUUAUCAUCUGAUACAAAAAUGGAGAGUGAUGAACAUUAAUUGGUGUGUUGAUAAAAAAACUAAAAAUAAUCGAAGAAAAAGAAAGAUAUGGGUGAAGAAAAUAUACAAAGACCGGGAAAGGAUCGUCUUGUCAUAGAAAUGCAUCUAACAAGCAGAGAGCCAUAUUUCAACUUUUUUAGGAUGUCACCUGAAGAAAGGGAACAUCUUUUGUAACUUGUUACUCCUUUUAUAGUAAAGAGACACACAUUUCUUUUAAAAAACAGUUCCUCCUGCGGAGAUAUUAAUGCUAACAUUACGUUUUCUGGCAUCUGGGGACUCGCAAAUUUCCUUGACUUAUCCUUUGCGAAUGGGAAAGAAGACUAUCACCAGCUUUAUAAGUGAAACAUGUGAAACAUUGUACUGCGUUUUUUCCAAAAUUUAAAUCCAUGCCCCUAAAAACCGAAAAAAAUGAAAAAAGAUCUCUGAAGAUUUUGAAAAGUUGUGGCAAUUUCCCCACAUAAUCGGUGCAAUCAAUGGGAAGCACAUAUGUAUUCAGGCCGCAAAUACAAGCGGAACGUUAUUUCAUAACUAAAAGGGGUUUUCAGUCUCCAGUUCCUGGCAGUUUGUGCAAAAUAUAAUUUUAAAUUGGUGAAUGAUGGAAAUUAUGGCUUCAAUAAUAAUUGCUCCGUUCUUGCCAACUCCAAUAUCGCUUAUGCCAUUGAAAACGAUUUGUUAGACGUGCCUGGGACCAAUAAAUUAAAGGAAUCCAAGAAGAAAUGCCCUAUUAUUUACUUGGAGAUGAGAUAUUCCUGUUCAACACUUGGUUGAUAAUGCCAUUUCCUGGACAUCUGAGGCUGAAUAAAUCUAUAACUUUUAUAGAGCACGCCUAUCUAUCGAAAACGCAUUUGGUAUCCUUUAUAUUUUAAAGAUCCAUGAUAGGGAAUGUUAGGAAUAUUAACUAUUUUCCCGAAAGUUAUUUCCACAUUAUCAUUACUUUCAAAAACCUGUUGAGAUUUAGUUUCUGAUCUUCCUUUUUUUCUUUUUUUUUUCUAUUUCAUUUAUUUUCCUGCGUCAGAUUUUACAUCCUGUCACAAUUUUCCUUUUUCUCAUGGAAGUUCCAGCUUUCAUUUCUCCGCCUUCGUCUUCGUGCAUGCCUUCUUCAUCGUCACUUUUACCAAUUGGUUCUUCGUCAAUUUAUUUAUUGCAACAUCUUGAUUGAUACCAACACUUAAUCAACCGGGACCAUAUGUAACAUCCAUAUUGUUUAUUGAAUCUUUGACAGCAACGUACGGGUAGUCCAUUCCAAAAAGGCGUAGUAACCCCCAAAUAAAUUGAAGACAUAUUUCUUAUUCCAAUGUAAAAGCUAAAUGUAAAUACCUGAGAUCCACAAUAUCUUACUUUCCUCGAUUCCAAGCUCUUCUUCAUUUCUUCACCAAGUAUUCUUUUUGGCACGCUUAUCCUUAUAAAGUCUAUCCCCUUUGUCAUACAAACAAAGAUAUUUCUUAAUACAAUUGCAGAUUUACUCCUCUUAGACGAGUGAUUUUAAACAGUAUGUUUAAAAGCGAGUGCUUGUUUAAGCAAUGGUGAGAUUACUGAGGCUCGUCUUGUAAGUUUGAGAGAUAUUCUACUGCAACCAAGAAAAAGAAGAAUUAAGAAAGUUAGAUGCAGAAAAAGUGAAUGCUCUUGAUAUAGGCGAGGUAGAGCAAGAUGUUUUGGAUAUCAGGUAGAUUUUAAAACCUUUAAGAGAAGUUAUAGCUGACCUCACACUUAAGAUGAAUGAAAUUAAAAUCGGUCAGAAGCUCUACAAGUUUAUGCGCGGUC